UACGUAGGGGGCAAGCGUUGUCCGGAAUCAUUGGGCGUAAAGCGCGUGUAGGCGGCUCGAUAAGUCUGCUGUGAAAGUUCAGGGCUCAACCCUGAAAUGCCGGUGGAAACUGUCGAGCUAGAGUACGGAAGGGGUGAGUGGAAUUCCUGGUGUAGCGGUGAAAUGCGCAGAUAUCAGGAGGAACACCAAUGGCGAAGGCAGCUCACUGGGACGUUACUGACGCUGAGACGCGAAAGCGUGGGGAGCAAACAGG
rnacentral:rRNA from 1 species